rnacentral:tRNA from 1 species
GGGCGGUUAGCUCAGUGGCAGAGUAUCGGUCUUACAAACCGGGGGUCGCAGGUUCGAGCCCUGCACCGCCCA